rnacentral:rRNA from 1 species
CCUACGGGAGGCAGCAGUGAGGACUAUUGGUCAAUGGACGGAAGUCUGCACCAGCCAUGCCGCGUGCAGGAAGACGGCUCUAUGAGUUGUAAACUGCUUUUGUACAAGGGUAAACCUGAAUACGUGUAUUCAGCUGAAAGGACUGUACGAAUAAGGAUCGGCGAACUCCGUGCCAGCAGCAGCGGUAAUACGGAGGAUCCAAGCGUUAUCCGGAUUUAUUGGGUUUAAAGGGUGCGCAGGCGGAGGCACAAGUCAGCGGUAAAAUCGCGGGGCGCAACCCCGCUCCGCCGUUGAAACUGGGUCCCGUGAGUGCGCGAAGGGUAGGAGGAAUGAGGGGUGUAGCGGUGAAAUGCAUAGAUAGCACGCAGAACUCCGAUCGCGAAGGCAGCCUACCGGCGCGCAACUGACGCUCAUGCACGAAAGCGUGGGUAUCGAACAGGAUUAGAUACCCUUGUAGUC